GACAGAGGGUGCAAACGUGUUCGGAAUUACUGGGCGUAAAGCGCGCGUAGGCGGCUUUGUAAGUUAGAGGUGAAAGCCCGGGGCUCAACCCCGGAACUGCCUUUAAGACUGCAUCGCUUGAAUCCAGGAGAGGUGAGUGGAAUUCCAAGGUGUAGCGGUGAAAUGCGUAGAGAUGUGGAGGAACACCGAUGGCGAAGGCAGCCUUCUGGGCCAACACUGACGCUCAUGGCACGAAAGCGUGGGGAGCAAACAGG
rnacentral:rRNA from 1 species